AAAAAAAGCACGCCCCUCGGUGGUGCGGUGCUCUCUGCUCCGGCGGCGGCGGCCAUCCUGGAGUAGGCCGCCAAAUCGCGGUUCCAGUUGAGAAGUUCCACGUCCCCCCUAUUGCAGCCAUGCCCCACCGGAGCGCACUCUCUCCGGCGCUGGCGGCCUCCCGAGGAGAGGAAUCUCGCUGCCUUGCAGAUCCGCCGCCGCCUCCUCAUCUAAGGGCAAUCAAAGGGGAGCCCAGUGAGGAGGAAUGCACUGCAGGAAAAUACUAAGUUGGAGAUAAAUCAGAGGAAAAGCAGAGCAAGGUGUACUCAUCAAGGUUCGGGCCAUCUUUAUCAUAAGUCAAGGGUAUGGGGAUGCCUUUAGAAACAGCCGUGCAGUCCCGUGGAAGGUCAGACAUGUAUGCAUAAAAGUCCG